UUUCCGUAGGUGAACCUGCGGAAGGAUCAUUAUAGGACUCGCAAGACUCCUUCACCCUGUGAACCUCACUACAAGCACGUUGCUUCGGCGGGUGUCCCGGCGGGGGUUUUCCCUCGCCGGGGCGCACAGCCCGCCGGCAGCCUACUAUACUCUGUCUCUUUGCGUUGGCAUCUCGAGAAAAAACAAACAAGUUAAAACUUUCAACAACGGAUCUCUUGGUUCUG
rnacentral:misc_RNA from 1 species